UUGGAGGGCAAGUCUGGUGCCAGCAGCCGCGGUAAUUCCAGCUCCAAUAGCGUAUAUUAAAGUUGUUGCAGUUAAAAAGCUCGUAGUUGAAUUUCGGGAUCGACGGGUCGGUCGCGCCUCUGGUGUGUACUGGCCCUGUCGGUUUCUCCCUUCUGACGAACCACGAUGUCAUUAAUUUGGUGUCGUGGGGAAUCAGGACUGUUACUUUGAAAAAUUUAGAGUGUUUAAAGCAAGCAUUCGCUUGAAUACAUUAGCAUGGAAUAAUGAAAUAGGACGUUUGAUCUUAUUUUGUUGGUUUCUAAGAUCGACGUAAUGAUUAAUAGGGAUAGUUGGGGGCAUUAGUAUUCAAUUGUCAGAGGUGAAAUUCUUGGAUUUAUUGAAGACUAACUACCGCGAAAGCAUUUGCCAAGGAUGUUUUCAUUAAUCAAGAACGAAAGUUAGGGGAUCGAAGACGAUCAGAUACCGUCGUAGUCUUAACCAUAAACUAUGCCGACUAAGGGAUCCGAAUGAUGGUAAAUUUUUAAUGGACUCCAUUCGGCGCCUUACGGGAAAC
rnacentral:rRNA from 1 species